rnacentral:rRNA from 1 species
ACGAACGCUGGCGGCGUGCUUAACACAUGCAAGUCGAGCGGUAAGGCCCUUUCGGGGGGUACACGAGCGGCGAACGGGUGAGUAACACGUGGGUGACCUGCCCUCAGCUCUGGGAUAAGCCCGGGAAAACUGGGGUCUAAUACCGGAUAUGACUCCAUGACGCAUGUUGUGGGGUGGAAAGCCUUGUGCGGCUGAGGAUGGGCCCGCGGCCUAUCAGCUUGUUGGUGGGGUGAUGGCCUACCAAGGCGACGACGGGUAGCCGGCCUGAGAGGGCGACCGGCCACACUGGGACUGAGAUACGGCCCAGACUCCUACGGGAGGCAGCAGUGGGGAAUCUUGCGCAAUGGGCGAAAGCCUGACGCAGCGACGCCGCGUGAGGGAUGACGGCCU